GCUAACGGCGCCGGGUGCGUAACGCGUAUACAAUCUGCCUUUCACAUAGGGAUAGCCCGAAGAAAUUUGGAUUAAUACCUAAUGGUAUAUAAGAGCGGCAUCGUUUUUAUAUUAAAGCUACGGUGGUGAAAGAUGAGUAUGCGUUCUAUUAGCUAGUUGGAGAGGUAACGGCUCCCCAAGGCGACGAUAGAUAGGGGUUCUGAGAGGGAUGUCCCCCACACUGGUACUGAGAUACGGACCAGACUCCUACGGGAGGCAGCAGUGAGGAAUAUUGGACAGUGGUCGGAAGACUGAUCCAGCCAUGCCGCGUGCAGGAUGAAGGUCCUAUGGAUUGUAAACUGCUUUUGUAAGGGAAGAAUAAGGGGUACGUGUACUUUGAUGACGGUACCUUACGAAUAAGCAUCGGCUAACUCCGUGCCAGCAGCCGCGGUAAUACGGAGGAUGCGAGCGUUAUCCGGAAUCAUUGGGUUUAAAGGGUCCGUAGGCGGGCUGAUAAGUCAGAGGUGAAAGCGCUUAGCUCAACUAAGCAACUGCCUUUGAAGCUGUCAGUCUUGAAUGAUUGUGAAGUAGUUGGAAUGUGUAGUGUAGCGGUGAAAUGCUUAGAUAUUACACAGAACACCGAUAGCGAAGGCAUAUUACUAACAAUUUAUUGACGCUGAUGGACGAAAGCGUGGGGAGCGAACAGGAUUAGAUACCCUGGUAGUCCACGCUGUAAACGAUGGAUACUAGCUGUUUGGAGCAAUCUGAGUGGCUAAGCGAAAGUGAUAAGUAUCCCACCUGGGGAGUACGCACGCAAGUGUGAAACUCAAAGGAAUUGACNGGGG
rnacentral:rRNA from 1 species